rnacentral:rRNA from 1 species
GACGUAGGUGGCGAGCGUUAUCCGGAUUUACUGGGCGUAAAGCGCGUGCAGGUGGUUUGAUAAGUCGGGCGUGAAAUCUCCUGGCUCAACUGGGAGAGGCCGUCCGAUACUAUCAGACUUGAGGGCAGUAGAGGGAGGUGGAAUUCCGGGUGUAGUGGUGAAAUGCGUAGAUAUCCGGAGGAACACCAGUGGCGAAGGCGGCCUCCUGGACUGCCCCUGACACUCAGACGCGAAAGCUAGGGGAGCGAACGGG